AUUGAACGCUGGCGGCAGGCCUAACACAUGCAAGUCGAGCGGAUGAAGGGAGCUUGCUCCUGGAUUCAGCGGCGGACGGGUGAGUAAUGCCUAGGAAUCUGCCUGGUAGUGGGGGAUAACGUCCGGAAACGGGCGCUAAUACCGCAUACGUCCUGAGGGAGAAAGUGGGGGAUCUUCGGACCUCACGCUAUCAGAUGAGCCUAGGUCGGAUUAGCUAGUUGGUGGGGUAAAGGCCUACCAAGGCGACGAUCCGUAACUGGUCUGAGAGGAUGAUCAGUCACACGGGAACUGAGACACGGUCCAGACUCCUGCGGGAGGCAGCAGUGGGGAAUAUUGGACAAUGGGCGGAAGCCUUAUCCAGCCAUGCCGCGUGUGUGAAGAAGGUCUUCGGAUUGUAAAGCACUUUAAGUUGGGAGGAAGGGCAGUAAGUUAAUACCUUGCUGUUUUGACGUUACCAACAGAAUAAGCACCGGCUAACUUCGUG
rnacentral:rRNA from 1 species